rnacentral:rRNA from 1 species
GUCCAGACUCCUACGGGAGGCAGCAGUGAGGAAUAUUGGUCAAUGGGAGAGAUCCUGAACCAGCCAAGCCGCGUGAGGGAAGACGGCCCUAUGGGUUGUAAACCUCUUUUGUCGGAGAACAAAACCCGGGACGUGUCCCGGACUGCGUGUAUCCGAAGAAAAAGCAUCGGCUAACUCCGUGCCAGCAGCCGCGGUAAUACGGAGGAUGCGAGCGUUAUCCGGAUUUAUUGGGUUUAAAGGGUGCGCAGGCGGCCUGUAAAGUCAGGGGGAAAGGCGGGGGGCUCAACCCCGGCGAGCCGUUGAAACUGGCGGGCUGGAGUUGGAGAGAAGUACGCGGAAUGCGCGGUGUAGCGGUGAAAUGCUUAGAUAUCGCGCAGAACCCCGAUUGCGAAGGCAGCGUACCGGCUCCACACUGACGCUGAGGCACGAAAGCGUGGGUAUCGAACAGGAUUAGAUACCCCCGUA